GUGUCAGCAGCCGCGGUAAGACGAAGGAUGCAAGCGUUAUCCGGAUUCAUUGGGUUUAAAGGGAGCGUAGGCGGAUUUGUAAGUCAGUGGUGAAAUCUCGCGGCUUAACUGCGAAACUGCCAUUGAUACUGCAGAUCUUGAGUACAGUUGCCGUUGGCGGAAUAUGACAUGUAGUGGUGAAAUACAUAGAGAUGUCAUAGAACACCGAUUGCGAAGGCAGCUAACGAAACUGUAACUGACGCUGAGGCUCGAAAGUGUGGGGAUCAAACAGGAUUAGAUACCCCAGUAGUCC
rnacentral:rRNA from 1 species